rnacentral:rRNA from 1 species
UACGUAGGGGGCAAGCGUUGUCCGGAUUUAUUGGGCGUAAAGCGCGUGUAGGCGGCUUGGCAAGUCCGCUGUGAAAACUCGAGGCUCAACCUCGAGACGUCGGUGGAAACUGCUUGGCUAGAGUCCGGAAGAGGAGUGUGGAAUUCCUGGUGUAGCGGUGAAAUGCGCAGAUAUCAGGAAGAACACCUAUGGCGAAGGCAGCACUCUGGGACGGUACUGACGCUGAGACGCGAAAGCGUGGGGAGCGAACAGG